GAUGAACGCUGGCGGCGUGCCUAAUACAUGCAAGUCGAGCGAACAGGCGAGGAGCUUGCUCCUCUGACGUUAGCGGCGGACGGGUGAGUAACACGUGGAUAACCUACCUAUAAGACUGGGAUAACUUCGGGAAACCGGAGCUAAUACCGGAUAAUAUAUUGAACCGCAUGGUUCAAUAGUGAAAGACGGUUUUGCUGUCACUUAUAGAUGGAUCCGCGCCGCAUUAGCUAGUUGGUAAGGUAACGGCUUACCAAGGCAACGAUGCGUAGCCGACCUGAGAGGGUGAUCGGCCACACUGGAACUGAGACACGGUCCAGACUCCUACGGGAGGCAGCAGUAGGGAAUCUUCCGCAAUGGGCGAAAGCCUGACGGAGCAACGCCGCGUGAGUGAUGAAGGUCUUCGGAUCGUAAAGCUCUGUUAUUAGGGAAGAACAAAUGUGUAAGUAACUAUGCACGUCUUGACGGUACCUAAUCAGAAAGCCACGGCUAACUACGUG
rnacentral:rRNA from 1 species